rnacentral:sRNA from 1 species
GCCUCGACCUGCUGCGGGGAGAUGAGGUGGACGUGGCUGUCGAUGGCCCCCGGGGUGGCGAUCGUGUGCUCGCCGGACAGCACCUCGGUGCCGGGGCCGAUGACGAGCCGCGGGUCGACGCCGUUCUCGGUGUUCGGGUUGCCCGACUUGCCGAUGCCCGCGAUCAGGCCGUUCCUGAUGCCGAUGUCCCCCUUGACGACGCCGAGGACCGGAUCGACGACGACGACGUUGGUGAUCACCAUGUCGAGCGCGCCGCUGUGGUUGGUGGCGUUGGGCGCGGAGCCCAUCCCGUCACGGGC